rnacentral:tRNA from 1 species
GCCCAUGUAGCUCAGUAGGCCAGAGCGCCGCACUUGUAAUGCGGAUGUCGCAGGUUCGAUUCCUGUCAGGGGCAC